CCUACGGGAGGCAGCAGUGGGGAAUAUUGGACAAUGGGCGCAAGCCUGAUCCAGCAAUGCCGCGUGAGUGAUGAAGGCCUUCGGGUUGUAAAGCUCUUUCGCCCGCGACGAUGAUGACGGUAGCGGGAGAAGAAGCCCCGGCUAACUUCGUGCCAGCAGCCGCGGUAAUACGAAGGGGGCGAGCGUUGUUCGGAAUCACUGGGCGUAAAGGGCGCGUAGGCGGCUUGGUUUGUCGCGUGUGAAAGCCCCGGGCUCAACCUGGGAGGUGCGCGCGAGACGGCCGGGCUUGGAGUUCGGGAGAGGAGCGUGGAAUUCCCAGUGUAGAGGUGAAAUUCGUAGAUAUUGGGAAGAACACCGGUGGCGAAGGCGGCGCUCUGGACCGAGACUGACGCUGAGGCGCGAAAGCGUGGGGAGCAAACAGGGUUAGAUACCCUGGUAGUCCACGCUGUAAACGAUGUGUGCUAGACGUUGGGGGGCCUAGCCUCUCGGUGUCGCAGCUAACGCGGUAAGCACACCGCCUGGGGAGUACGGCCGCAAGGUUAAAACUCAAAGGAAUUGACGG
rnacentral:rRNA from 1 species